CAAGUCGAACGAGAAAGGGGAGCAAUCCCUGAGUACAGUGGCGUACGGGUGAGUAACACGUGGAUGAUCUACCUCUUAGUGGGGAAUAACUAUGGGAAACCGUAGCUAAUACCGCAUAAGCCUGAGAAGGGAAAGCAGCAAUGCGCUGAGAGAGGAGCCCGCGGCCGAUUAGCUAGUUGGUGGGGUAAGAGCCCACCAAGGCUGAGAUCGGUAGCCGGCCUGAGAGGGCACACGGCCACACUGGCACUGAAACACGGGCCAGACUCCUACGGGAGGCAGCAGUGGGGAAUCUUGCACAAUGGGGGAAACCCUGAUGCAGCGACGCCGCGUGAGCGAUGAAGCCCUUCGGGGUGUAAAGCUCUUUCGGCAGGGAAGAUUAUGACGGUACCUGCAGAAGCAGCUGCGGCUAACUACGUGCCAGCAGCCGCGGUAAUACGUAGGCAGCAAGCGUUGUUCGGAGUUACUGGGCGUAAAGGGUGUGUAGGCGGUUGUUUAAGUUUGGUGUGAAAUCUCCCGGCUCAACCGGGAGGGUGCGCCGAAUACUGAAUGACUAGAGUGCGGGAGAGGAAAGUGGAAUUCCUGGUGUAGCGGUGAAAUGCGUAGAUAUCAGGAGGAACACCGGUGGUGUAGACGGCUUUCUGGACCGUAACUGACGCUGAGACACGAAAGCGUGGGUAGCAAACAGGAUUAGAUACCCUGGUAGUCCACGCCCUAAACGAUGCAUAUUUGGUGUGGGCAGUUCAUUCUGUCCGUGCCGGAGCUAACGCGUUAAAUAUGCCGCCUGGGGAGUACAGUCGCAAGGCUGAAACUCAAAGGAAUUGACGGGGGCCC
rnacentral:rRNA from 1 species